rnacentral:rRNA from 1 species
UACGGGGGGGGCAAGCGUUGUUCGGAAUUACUGGGCGGAAAGGGCUCGUAGGCGGCCAACUAAGUCAGACGUGAAAUCCCUCGGCUUAACCGGGGAAUGGCGUCUGAUACUGGAUGGCUCGAGUUUGGGAGAGGGAUGCGGAAUUCCAGGUGUAGCGGUGAAAUGCGUAGAUAUCUGGAGGAACACCGGUGGCGAAGGCGGCAUCCUGGACCAACACUGACGCUGAUGAGCGAAAGCCAGGGGAGCAAACGGG